GCGGGACUAGCUCUCAUCUGGUAGAGCGACAGCUUCCCAAUGGCAGGCGACGGGUUCGAGUCCCGUGUCCUGCU
rnacentral:tRNA from 1 species